rnacentral:rRNA from 1 species
UACGUAGGGUGCAAGCGCUAAUCGGAAUUACUGGGCGUAAAGCGUGCGCAGGCGGUUUCGUAAGUCUGUCGUGAAAUCCCCGGGCUUAACCUGGGAAUGGCGAUGGAUACUGCGAGGCUAGAGUUUGGCAGAGGGGGGUAGAAUUCCACGUGUAGCAGUGAAAUGCGUAGAGAUGUGGAGGAACACCGAUGGCGAAGGCAGCCCCCUGGGUCAAAACUGACGCUCAUGCACGAAAGCGUGGGGAGCAAACAGG